CCUUACCAUUUACAUUCCAACCCCCCACUUCCUCUCCUCCCUUCCUUUUCCACUCUUUGUCUUCCUAAUUUCCAGCUAUUUACUUUUUCACAGACUGCCUCUUUACUGCCUUGGAGAACUGAACUACACUAGAGUUUCCCUUACUUAUCUUUGGCAUUAUUUCCCCCUCAUUUACCCCCCUCCCUUCCCUUCUUUCCCCAUUGUUUUCCUAAUUCCAACCUAUUUACAUUCUCACUGACAUCCUGUCACAUUUUUUUGCUUCUUUCAGAACAGCAGAGACUCCCUGUGCCUGAAGAAGGGUGUUUAUGCCUGAAAACUUGCAAAGAACUUUUUUCCAACUACUCAGUUGGUCAAAUAGAAGAUACCACAUCUACCCAAAGAAGCUUGCCUACCUAUGUCCUUAGACCAACACAGCUACAACCAAAAAUCUUCUAUAGUUUAUCUUUCAUAGUUUUAUCCUUCCAGAAGCUAUGCUACUUCAGACUGUGAAGACUUCUUUAUUCAUCAAUGUUUUCUUUGGCAAGUAGGCCAAGAAUAAUCUGUACUGUAUACAACUGGAUUAACACAAGAUUAAGCAGCACUUGAGAUGGAAUGGGAGGAGGGGCAGUUGUCCACCACAAAUGACAUGAUGAGUUUAGGACCUGCUGAAGAAUGACACAUAGGCCAGAUUCUAUUCCUCCCGCAUGCUGCUUUUUAAGGCACUUUCCGGACUGAUAUCCCUCAUAUAUGCCCGCCUUAAAAUAGGAGAGUGGAUGUUGCUGACCCCAAGAAAGCAUUCGCUAGGCACAAAUAAUUUCUCUCAGAGUGGUACAGUGAAUGAAAUAGCAAGAAGAUUAUCUUCUCAAACCAUAGACACUAAUCAGGGUCACUUUUAAAAGACAGCUUGGUGAGACUGCAUCGUUUGAAUAUACAUAAAAGCACCUCUAAAAUACCAGAGUUUAGCUCCAAGAGCAGACACUGAACUAAGAAAUAAAAAUGAAGUCAUUAUUUUUCUUCCUGAAAUU
rnacentral:lncRNA from 1 species